rnacentral:rRNA from 1 species
UACGUAGGGGGCAAGCGUUGUCCGGAAUCAUUGGGCGUAAAGCGCGUGUAGGCGGCUCGAUAAGUCUGCUGUGAAAGUCCAAGGCUCAACCUUGGGAUGCCGGUGGAUACUGUCGAGCUCGAGUCCGGAAGAGGAGUGUGGAAUUCCUGGUGUAGCGGUGAAAUGCGCAGAUAUCAGGAGGAACACCAGCGGCGAAGGCGGCGCUCUGGGCCGGAACUGACGCUGAGGAGCGAAAGCGUGGGUAGCAAACAGG